rnacentral:rRNA from 1 species
UUUGAGUUUUGCUCUGGCUCUUAACUAUGCUCUUCCCUCUAACGCAUAUGCCAGCAUCCCCCUAAAAGCUAAAAGCUAUACUAAAGCAGUGCAGAAAAUUUUGAAAUAAGCGAAAGCUUGAAAAAGAGAUGGGAAAUAUGGGGUGGAAAAUUUUGUGCCAGCAUCCGCGGUUACACAAAAACCCUUAGUGUAGUUAAUAACCAUUAAAUGGGGGAAUUUUAAAAGUUGAAUUUUAAAAGUUGACCUCUCCCCCUUACAAUAAAGUUAACUUUAAAACCAGGAUUAGAUACCCUGCUAUUAAUAACCAUAACCUUAAGGGCAUUACAAGUAACCUUAAAACCUAAAGAGCUUGGCGGUCUUCCGAAUAAUCAGGGAAGCCUGUCUACUAAACGAUAAUCCACGAAAAAAACCUUUUUUAAAAGCCUGUAUACCUCCGUCCAGUUAAUCUUUAAGAGUAUUAGCCUUUUUACCAUAAAACAUGUCAGGUCAAGGUGCAGCCCAUGAAAAGGACUAGAUUGGCUGCGCAUAAGAUAGUAAUUUUAUUAAACAUAAAAGAACAAACAGUACUUGAAAGUAAUUUUUUUUUAAAAAGAAAAAAUGAAACCAACCCGGGAGAUGUACAAAUCGCCCGUCGUUCCCCCCCAAAGGGGGGAAAAGUCGUAACAAAGUUGGGGUACUGGAAAGUGUUCCA